rnacentral:rRNA from 1 species
GGUGACCGACCUUCGGGAGCUUGCACAGGUGCUGCAUGGCUGUCGUUCAGCUCGUGUCGUGAGAUGUUGGUUAAGUCCCGCAACGAGCGCAACCCUUGUCAUUAGUUGCCAUCAUUUGGUUGGGCACUCUAAUGAGACUGCCGGUGACAAACCGGAGGAAGGUGGGGAUGACGUCAAGUCCUCAUGGCCCUUAUGGGUAGGGCUUCACACGUCAUACAAUGGUCGGUACAGAGGGUUGCCAACCCGCGAGGGGGAGCUAAUCCCACAAAGCCGAUCGUAGUCCGGAUCGCAGUCUGCAACUCGACUGCGUGAAGUCGGAAUCGCUAGUAAUCGUGGAUCAGCAUGUCACGGUGAAUACGUUCCCGGGUCUU